rnacentral:rRNA from 1 species
UACGUAGGGUGCAAGCGUUGUCCGGAAUUAUUGGGCGUAAAGAGCUUGUAGGCGGUUUGUCGCGUCUGCUGUGAAAUUUCGGGGCUCAACCCCGAACUUGCAGUGGGUACGGGCAGACUAGAGUGUGGUAGGGGAGACUGGAAUUCUGGUGUAGCGGUGAAAUGCGCAGAUAUCAGGAGGAACACCCGUGGCGAAGGCGGUUCUCUGGGACGGUACUGACGCUGAGACGCGAAAGCGUGGGGAGCGAACAGG